rnacentral:rRNA from 1 species
UACGUAGGCAGCAAGCGUUGUUCGGAGUUACUGGGCGUAAAGGGUGUGUAGGCGGUUGUUUAAGUUUGGUGUGAAAUCUCCCGGCUCAACUGGGAGGGUGCGCCGAAUACUGAAUGACUAGAGUGCGGGAGAGGAAAGUGGAAUCCUGGUGUAGCGGUGAAAUGCGUAGAUAUCAGGAGGAACACCGGUGGUGUAGACGGCUUCUGGACCGUAACUGACGCUGAGACACGAAAGCGUGGGUAGCAAACAGG